rnacentral:rRNA from 1 species
UACCAUGGUGGUAACGGGUAACGGGGUGUUAGGGCACGACACCGGAGAGGGAGCCUGAGAAACGGCUACCACAUCCAAGGAUGGCAGCAGGCGCGCAAAUUACCCAAUCCCGACACGGGGAGGUAGUGACAAUAAAUAACAAUACGGGGUUCUUUAGGAUCUCGUAAUUGGAAUGAGUACAAUUUAAAUCCCUUAACGAGGAACAAUUGGAGGGCAAGUCUGGUGCCAGCAGCCGCGGUAAUUCCAGCUCCAAUAGCGUAUAUUAAAGUUGUUGCAGUUAAAAAGCUCGUAGUUGAAUUUCGGGAUCAAUACGUCGGUCGUGCUUUCGGGUACGUACUGGCGUCAUUGGUUUCUCCUUUCUGACGAACCAUGAUGUCAUUAAUUUGGUGUUAUGGGGAGUUAGGACUGUUACUUUGAAAAAAUUAGAGUGUUUAAAGCAGGCAUUAGCUUGAAUACAUUAGCAUGGAAUAAUGAAAUAGGACGUUCGAUCCUAUUUUGUUGGUUUCUAGGAUCAACGUAAUGAUUAAUAGGGAUAGUUGGGGGCAUUAGUAUUCAAUUGUCAGAGGUGAAAUUCUUGGAUUUAUUGAAGACUAACUACUGCGAAAGCAUUUGCCAAGGAUGUUUUCAUUAAUCAAGAACGAAAGUUAGGGGAUCGAAGACGAUCAGAUACCGUCGUAGUCUUAACCAUAAACUAUGCCGACUAGGGAUCGGAUGAUGUUAAUUUUUUAAUGACUCAUUCGGCGCCUUACGGGAAACCAAAGUGUUU